UUAUUUUUAUGAAUUAAAUAUUAACUAAAAAGAAAUUAAGCAUAUCAACUGUGUGUAUGUGUGCGUAUGGAUGCAGAGUAUUUGGUGGUGUGUGUUGAAAAUUUGUAAAUGAAGUAAGUAAUUGGGAUAGUGAAUCGAAGUGAUGACAAAUGAAUAAAGCCAUGCAUGUGGGUGAUGAAAGAUGGAGUGUUGUUUGUAUAAGCUGCUGUGUAUCUCACUAUCUAAGUGGAAUGUCGACGGGGUGGAACAUGGACAUGCAGAGUCAGUAGGCACAC
rnacentral:lncRNA from 1 species